rnacentral:tRNA from 1 species
GGUUUAGCUCAGUGGCAUAAGCACCUGCCUUGCAAGCAGGCAGUCAUGAGUUCGAUUCCCGGUACCG